ACGGAGGGGGCUAGCGUUGUUCGGAAUUAUUGGGCGUAAAGGGCGCGUAGGCGGUCAGGCAAGUCGGAUGUGAAAUCCCUCGGCUCAACCGAGGAACUGCACCCGAAACUGCCUGACUUGAGUCCCGGAGAGGGUAGCGGAAUUCCCAGUGUAGCGGUGAAAUGCGUAGAUACUGGGAGGAACACCAGUGGCGAAGGCGGCUACCUGGACGGUGACUGACGCUGAGGCGCGAAAGCGUGGGGAGCAAACAGG
rnacentral:rRNA from 1 species